CUUCUUCCACCUGCUGCGGUGAAAUGAAAUGGAUAUGUGAAUCAAUAGCACCCGCAGUCAGGAUACGGCCUUCGCCUGCAAUGAUCUCCGUGCCGGGGCCUAUGAUAAUCGUCACACCCGGCUGCGUAUCAGGAUUGCCGGCUUUGCCGAUGCCUGCAAUACGCCCGCCGAGCAGGCCGACAUCGGCCUUAUAAAUGCCGGUGUGAUCAAGGAUCAGCGCAUUGGUGAUGACAGUAUCCAUCGCGCCUUGCGCGCACGAUAACUGGCUUUGCCCCAUACCAUCGCGGAU
rnacentral:sRNA from 1 species